CAGCAGCCGCGGGAAAACGAAGGGUGCAAGCGUUAAUCGGAAUUACUGGGCGUAAAGCGCGCGUAGGUGGUUUGUUAAGUUGGAUGUGAAAUCCCCGGGCUCAGCCUGGGAACUGCAUUCAAAACUGACUGACUAGAGUAUGGUAGAGGGUGGUGGAAUUUCCUGUGUAGCGGUGAAAUGCGUAGAUAUAGGAAGGAACACCAGUGGCGAAGGCGACCACCUGGACUAAUACUGACACUGAGGUGCGAAAGCGUGGGGAGCAAACAGGAUUAGAUACCCCAGAGUCCCUGUCUCUUAUACA
rnacentral:rRNA from 1 species